rnacentral:rRNA from 1 species
UGGGUAUGUUAAUAGCAUACUCAUUUGACGUUAGCUGCAGAAGAAGCACCGGCUAACUCCGUGCCAGCAGCCGCGGUAAUACGGAGGGUGCGAGCGUUAAUCGGAAUUACUGGGCGUAAAGCGCAUGCAGGUGGUUUGUUAAGUCAGAUGUGAAAGCCCGGGGCUCAACCUCGGAAUUGCAUUUGAAACUGGCAAACUAGAGUACUGUAGAGGGGGUAGAAUUUCAGGUGUAGCGGUGAAAUGCGUAGAGAUCUGAAGGAAUACCGGUGGCGAAGGCGGCCCCCUGGACAGAUACUGACACUCAGAUGCGAAAGCGUGGGGAGCAAACAGGAUUAGAUACCCUGGUAG